rnacentral:rRNA from 1 species
UGAGGAAUAUUGGUCAAUGGGGGCAACCCUGAACCAGCCAAGUCGCGUGAAGGAUGAAGGUCUUAUGGAUUGUAAACUUCUUUUACACGGGAAUAAAGUGGGGGACGUGUCCCCCUUUGCAUGUACCGUGUGAAUAAGGAUCGGCCAACUCCGUGCCAGCAGCCGCGGUAAUACGGAGGAUCCGAGCGUUAUCCGGAUUUAUUGGGUUUAAAGGGUGCGCAGUCGGGAUGUUAAGUCGGCGGUGAAAUUUUGCAGCUCAACUGUAAAAGUGCCUUCGAUACUGGCCUCCUUGAGUGUGGAUGAAGUAGGCGGAAUUUGUGGUGUAGCGGUGAAAUGCUUAGAUAUCACGAGGAACUCCGAUUGCGCAGGCAGCUUACUAAGCCACAACUGACGCUCAUGCACGAAGGCGUGGAGAUCAAACA